GAUGAACGCUGGCGGCGUGCCUAAUACAUGCAAGUCGAGCGAACGGACGAGAAGCUUUCUUCUCUGAUGUUAGCGGCGGACGGGUGAGUAACACGUGGAUAACCUACCUAUAAGACUGGGAUAACUUCGGGAAACCGUAGCUAAUACCGGAUAAUAUUUUGAACCGCAUGGUUCAAACGUUAAAGACGGUCUUGCUUUCACUUAUAGAUUGACCCGCGCAGCAUUAGCUAGUUGGUAAGGUAACGGCUUACCAAGGCAACUAUGCAUAGCCGACCUGAGAGGGUGAUCGGACACCCUGGAUGUGAGACACAGUCCAGACUCCUACGGGAGGAAACAGUAGGGAAUCUUCCGCAAUGAGCGAAUGCCUAACGGUGCAACGCCGCGGAAGUGAUGAAGGACUUCGGAUCGUAAAACUCUGUUAUUAGGGAAGAACAUAUGUGUAAGUAACUGUGAACAUAUUGACAGUACCUAAUCAAAAAGCCCCGGCUAACUACGUG
rnacentral:rRNA from 1 species